rnacentral:rRNA from 1 species
AUGCGGCGGCUGCGGCAGACCGUGGAGGCGCUGGACGUUGGCGUGCUGGUGAACAACGCCGGCGUGCUGGAGCCCUGCGCGGUGUUCCUGCACGAGGCCGGAGCGGAGGAGUGGGUGGAUAUGAGGGUGAACCUGUUGGCGCUGACGGAGGUGACAGCGGCGGUGAUUCCGGGCAUGGUGGACCGCGGGAGGGGAGCUGUAGUCAACUUGGGCUCGGCUUCGUCAGAGGCCAUCCCCUCCUUACCACUCUACACCAUGUACGCCGCCACUAAACGCUAUGUUGCUCGGUUCUCUAAGAGUCUUCACUGUUAG